ACAACCCUAUGCGGUGGAUCACUUGGCUCGCGAGUCGAUGAAGAGCGCAGCAAAGUGCGUGAAUUAAUGUGAUUUGCAGGACACAUUGAUCAUCGAUAUCUUGAACGCAUAUUGCGGUUAUGGAUCGCUUCCAUGACCACGCCUGUCUGAGGGUCGGUAUUAAUAU
rnacentral:rRNA from 1 species